rnacentral:lncRNA from 1 species
AUGUGGUCUCGGCUGGACAGCCGCAUGUUCAGGUUGAACAGCAGGGUUCCUCAAUGUCCACACUCUCCAGACUCACUGUCUCCUGAUGCUGAGGACACAGGACAGGUUACAUACAGAUAUACAGUAAUUAUACAGAUAUUGAUGUGUAAACACUGUCCAGACUCACUGUCUCCUGAUGCUGAGGACACAGGACAGGUUACAUACAGAUAUACAGUAUUAUACAGAUAUAUGAUGUGAACACUGUCCAGACUCACUGUCUCCUGAUGCUGAGAGAACAGGACAGGUUACAUACAGUAUAUACAGAUAUAUGACGUGUAAACACUGUCCGACUCCGUCCCUCCUGAUGCUGAGGACACAGGACAGGUUACAUACAGUAUUAUAA